rnacentral:lncRNA from 1 species
CAAAAUACUCAAGUGCAAGAUCAAGAAAACUUUCAUGUUCUGUUUUUUUGUUGUCAAUAGGGACAACAGUAUCAUAAAGCUUCAUUAAAACAAAAAAAGGUAACUGAUUUUCCAAUAAUAUCAAAUCCCUUGUUAUGCUUUUGCUUAACCAAGCUUGUGUUAAAAUAUAAUCAUCACUGUGUUUAAAUCUAAAUGACUUGCUCGCCACGUAAUCAUGUUCAUGUUUUGUUCCAUCUGAUUUAAAUGAACGGUUUCUUAACAAAAGUUCCAUGAUGAAAACAGAAUCCAGCAACACAUUUUCUAUGAACUUUUCUUUGCUUAUGUUUGGAAAUUUCUCUGCAUAACAUUUUCUGAUUUCUUGUUCUUUGUUUUCAAGGUAGAGUUUGUAAUUCUUCAUGGUUUCUUGAUUGGAUACACGUUCAUAGAAGAAAUGGAAGUACCUUUUUUUGUGUUGUUGCAUCGGUUCAAGUUCUUUU